rnacentral:rRNA from 1 species
CAGCCGCCGCGGUAAUACCGGCGGCCCGAGUGGCGGUCACUAUUAUUGGGCUUAAAGCGUCCGUAGCCGGGGUGGGAAGUCCUCCGGGAAAUCUGGCCGCUUAACGGUCAGAAUGCCGGAGGAUACUCCCAGCCUAGGGAGCGGGAGAGGCCGAGGGGAUUCCCGGAGUAGGGGUGAAAUCCUAUAAUCCCGGGAGGACCACCGGUGGCGAAGGCGCUCGGCUGGAACGCGUCCGACGGUGAGGGACGAAGGCCAGGGGAGCAAACCGGAUUAGAUACCCGGGUAGUCCUGGCUGUAAACGAUGCGGACUUUGUGUCGGACAAGCUAUGAGCUUGUCCGGUGCCGGAGGGAAACCGUUAAGUCCGCCGCCUGGGGAGUACGGCCGCAAGGCUGAAACUUAAAGGAAUUGGCGGG